GGGGGGGGGGGGGGGGGGGGGGGGGGGGGGGGGGGGGGGGGGGGGGGGGGGGGGGGGGGGGGGGGGGGGGGGGGGGGGGGUUUUUUUUUUUUUUUUUUUUUUUUUUUUUUUUUUUUUUUGUGUGUAUCUUUUUUGGGGCCAUUUUGAGACUAAAACCAAGAGGUAUCUCAGGGGGGGUUAUGGUUAGCUCACACUAUGCAGAAUUACACACAGUAGGAAAUCUGGGGAUUUCUCUCUCUUGCUUCAGUGACUCUAGCAGCUUGCCCAGCACUCCUAAAGCGACAUGUUGUAAGGGUCAUGGGUUUGGAGCAAAGCCAAUACUAGUGUUAGCAAGCAGAAUUCCUUAUGACUCCACUUUUUAAAUUUUUUUUUUUCCUUUUUCUCUUUGCUAUUGGCCCAACACAAGCAGCAAAAGUAACAUGUCUGAACCUGUUUCAUUGUCUGUUCUGGUGGUUACCCACUUUCUUCUCCCCUGGUUCAGGGAAAGUGAGGAAAAAAGGUUUGCCUUUGCCCAGCAGCACUGCAGGUGUCUGUCCCUCUGAAAGAGUCCCAGCGGUGUGGGCGUGCUGGAAAGAAAAAUCCCCAGUGACUUCACCCAGCUUGGCUUGUGGUGGUUACUCACAAUGAGGUAACUUUUUUUUUCUAAAUUAUUUCUUUUCUUUUUUUUUUUUUUUUUUUUUUUUUUUUUUUUUUUUUUUUUUUUUUUUUUUUUUUUUUUACAUCUGAGUUUUUGCAUAUGAGUGAAACUGCAGCUCUGGGACGAUUCAGGGAGUUUUCUCUGCAGAGUAAUUUUGCCUUUACACUGCUAUUACAGCUCUGGUAUCCUAUAGCAAGUAAGAACAUAACAUUACAUCUGUUCACACGUGGGAGAUGGAGGAACUGCAUUAAGAGCCCAUCAGAUAGGAAGGCACCAUUCAAGGAUGAGCUCCAACCCAGAACCCAUUCUGAACAGGAACCUGACCAUCUUGUCUUGGAGUCAAAUGGAGCCUUUGGAUGUUUGGAAAGUCCAACCAACAAAUGCUUUCCUAUUUUAUAUACUCUGGACGGGAGUUCUCAUCUUCCUUCCUGCUCCAGGGAAAUUGACCCUGCAGGACAAGGAGGCUUGGUGUGA
rnacentral:lncRNA from 1 species